rnacentral:snRNA from 1 species
UUAACUACCUGACGAGGGAGAUACUACGAUCAUGGAAGUGGUUUUCCCAGGGCAAGCCUUAUCCAUUGCACUCCAGAUGUGCUGACUCCUGCAGUUUCCCCAAAUGUGGGAAACUCGACUACAUAAUUUGUGGUAGUAGGGGACUGCGUUCAUGCUCUCCCCUA